rnacentral:rRNA from 1 species
UACAGAGGUGGCAAGCGUUGUUCGGAAUUACUGGGCGUAAAGGGCGCGUAGGCGGCCUUGUAAGUCCUGUGUGAAAUCCCCCGGCUCAACUGGGGAACUGCACAGGAGACUGCUUGGCUUGAGUUCGGGAGAGGGAAGCGGAAUUCCGGGUGUAGCGGUGAAAUGCGUAGAUAUCCGGAGGAACACCGGUGGCGAAGGCGGCUUCCUGGACCGACACUGACGCUGAGCCGCGAAAGCCAGGGGAGCGAACGGG